rnacentral:misc_RNA from 1 species
UGUAUUUCAUUAUUUUAUGUCUCCCCACUCAUAACGAAGUGUAGUUCUAGGCAUCCUAGAACCUAACUGUCCGGACAACACUGGUCAUCGGAACAGUAGAUCGUACUACCGAACUUAGGGAUGUUACAGAUUAAGUCCUUAUCAAAGGGAUCAUGUAGAAAAGCAUAACAAUAUCCGGUAAUCGUGGCCUUUAACACCAUGACAAGAUCAAUUAGGCUAAUAAGACUGCUUUCAAGAACAAAAAAAUGAAAUAAAAAUGCUUGUCAGAGAUGCUUACUCUGUUGUGCCAAUCUCCAUAUUAAUGAGGGGUCCUGUUACAAAAAUAACAGAACAGAAAGACAGAAUGCUAGGAGCCUCGUUUGCCCACAAAUGUUAAAGCGUAGAAUUCAGCAAAUGCAUUGCUAGAAGUAAAAUCAUCUAGAAAACACUCAAGGGCAUCCGGUGGUACCAAACCAUUUUUUAAAUUUAAAAUCUUGGAUACGAAAUACCAAUUCAAAUAAUGGAAAGUUACCCAGCAAUAUCAAAGAGGGAGAGGGAGAUUUUUUCCAUUAGGUGUUUAGCUUUGGCUGUGGGAGUGAGCGUGAAGCCUCGUUUGGCAGCGAGAUUUUUACUGAAUUGAAUUGAAGGGGUGAGGGGGC